GCUGCAAGUGCUCAGUCCAAGUUGGGCAAGUUGGUGUUUGUAACUUCUGUCUAUGAAAGUCUGAUAUGGGUCCUCCCCUAAACUUCUGUUAGAACGGUGGGAAACAUUGCUCCCGUGAGAACGGUACAGUGGACUUCAUCGCCACUGACCCACAGUUAUUAGGGUGUGACACGAACUUGUGGACAGAGUACCGAGCUGCUGCUUUGCCAAGUGGAUUUCUGGCUGCGGGCAAAGGACCCGACACGUCACUGAAUUUUAAACUGUUUUAAAUGCGACAGACUGACUGCUGUGGCUGUCGAUUGUUUGUUUCUUGUUUUAUUUUUCUGUAUCAGUAGGCACCACAGAUAUUGAUUCUUUUAGUAUUUUAACCUCUUUUUUAUAUAUAUAUAUAGAGAGAGAGAUAUUGUCUCAAACGGUGAAGGCGCUGUGUGGAAAACAAAUCCUUUUUUUGUCUCGCCGCUUUUGCAUGCACAGCGGUGGGUCUGAGUGAAGACGGCACUGAAGACUUGACUUUUUCUAUAGUGUUUUGCCCAUUUGGGGGUUAUGUGUGAGUUGCCGUCCCUUUUUAACCUGUGUGCUGUGUUGAUUUGUUCCUACACAGUUCCCCGCAGCGCUUGUCCUGUCUCACGGGCAAUCGUACAGUUUUAUCAUUUUUAAACAAGGUAAAGUUUUUAAUUGUUUUUAAGU